GGAAAUUUAUUAAAAAGGAAUUAAACAAUUCAAUGACAAUCAUGUACGCUUUGGACACUUAAUAACGAUCUGUUCAAAUAUUAUAGACAUAUAACCUGCAGCCAAUAAAUGACCAUGUAUACUGUGAAAUAACAUGUAUCCUUCAGGGGUUAAUUGCAGUUUGACAAUUAACCACAGACAAGAAUUAUUCAACAUCCAGACUAAUACGUAACCGGCC
rnacentral:lncRNA from 1 species